rfam:Camelus ferus unplaced genomic scaffold scaffold1373, whole genome shotgun sequence.
GGAGGUGUACAGCUCAAGUGGUAGAGUACAUGCUUAGCAUGCACGAGGUCCUGGGUUCAAUCCCCAGUACCUCCU